rnacentral:rRNA from 1 species
UACGGAGGGGGCGAGCGUUAUUCGGAAUUACUGGGCGUAAAGGGCGCGUAGGCGGCCUUGCAAGUCGAAGGUGAAAUCCCCGGGCUCAACCUGGGAACGGCCUUCGAUACUGCUCGGCUAGAGUCCGGGAGGGGGUAGCGGAAUUCCCAGUGUAGCGGUGAAAUGCGUAGAUAUUGGGAGGAACACCGGUGGCGAAGGCGGCUACCUGGACCGGUACUGACGCUGAGGCGCGAAAGCGUGGGGAGCAAAC